rnacentral:rRNA from 1 species
UCUUGGUCAUUUAGAGGAAGUAAAAGUCGUAACAAGGUCUCCGUUGGUGAACCAGCGGAGGGAUCAUUACCGAGUUUACAACUCCCAAACCCCUGUGAACAUACCUAUACGUUGCCUCGGCGGAUCAGCCCGCGCCCCGUAAAAAGGGACGGCCCGCCCGAGGACCCCUAAACUCUGUUUUUAGUGGAACUUCUGAGUAAAACAAACAAAUAAAUCAAAACUUUCAACAACGGAUCUCUUGGUUCUGGCAUCGAUGAAGAACGCAGCAAAAUGCGAUAAGUAAUGUGAAUUGCAGAAUUCAGUGAAUCAUCGAAUCUUUGAACGCACAUUGCGCCCGCCAGUAUUCUGGCGGGCAUGCCUGUUCGAGCGUCAUUUCAACCCUCAAGCUCAGCUUGGUGUUGGGACUCGCGGUAACCCGCGUUCCCCAAAUCGAUUGGCGGUCACGUCGAGCUUCCAUAGCGUAGUAAUCAUACACCUCGUUACUGGUAAUCGUCGCGGCCACGCCGUAAAACCCCAACUUCUGAAUGUUGACCUCGGAUCAGGUAGGAAUACCCGCUGAACUUAAGCAUAUCAAUAAG